rnacentral:rRNA from 1 species
GUAACGGCGAGUGAAGCGGUAACAGCUCAAAUUUGAAAUCUGGCCUCACGGUCCGAGUUGUAAUUUGUAGAGGAUGCUUCGAGCAUGGUCUGGCCUAAGUUCCUUGGAACAGGACGUCAUAGAGGGUGAGAAUCCCGUAUGCGGCCAGGUGCCUACGCUCAUGUGAAGCUCCUUCGACGAGUCGAGUUGUUUGGGAAUGCAGCUCAAAAUGGGUGGUAAAUUUCAUCUAAAGCUAAAUAUUGGCCAGAGACCGAUAGCGCACAAGUAGAGUGAUCGAAAGAUGAAAAGCACUUUGGAAAGAGAGUUAAACAGUACGUGAAAUUGUUGAAAGGGAAGCGCUUGCAACCAGACUUGCGCGCGGCCGAUCAUCCGGUGUUCUCACCGGUGCACUCGGCCGUGCUCAGGCCAGCAUCGGUUUUGGCGGCUGGAUAAAGGCCCUAGGAAUGUAGCUCCUCUCGGGGAGUGUUAUAGCCUAGGGUGCAAUGCAGCCUGCUGGGACCGAGGACCGCGCUUCGGCUAGGAUGCUGGCGUAAUGGUUGUAAGCGGCCCGUCUUGAAACACGGACCAAGGAGUCUAACAUCUAUGCGAGUGUUUGGGUGUCAAACCCAUACGCGUAAUGAAAGUGAACGGAGGUGAGAACCCUUAAGGGUGCAUCAUCGACCGGUCCUGAAGUUUACGGAAGGAUCUGAGUAAGAGCAUAGCUGUUGGGACCCGAAAGAUGGUGAACUAUGCCU